rnacentral:rRNA from 1 species
GAUGAACGCUGGCGGCGUGCCUAAUACAUGCAAGUCGAGCGAACAGAUGAGGAGCUUGCUCCUCUGACGUUAGCGGCGGACGGGUGAGUAACACGUGGAUAACCUACCUAUAAGACUGGGAUAACUUCGGGAAACCGGAGCUAAUACCGGAUAAUAUAUUGAACCGCAUGGUUCAAUAGUGAAAGACGGUUUUGCUGUCACUUAUAGAUGGAUCCGCGCCGCAUUAGCUAGUUGGUAAGGUAACGGCUUACCAAGGCAACGAUGCGUAGCCGACCUGAGAGAGUGUUCGGCCACACUGGAACUGAGACACGUUCCAGACUCCAACGGGAGGCAGCAGUGGGAAAUCUGCCGCAAUGGGCGAAAGCCGGACGGAGCAACGCCGCGUGAGUGAUGAAGGUCUUCGGAUCGUAAAACUCUGUUAUUAGGGAAGAACAAAUGUGUAAGUAACUAUGCACGUCUGGACGGUACCUAAUCAGAAAGCCACGGCUAACUACGG